rnacentral:lncRNA from 1 species
UGAAAGGAUAUGUUAAUGGUACUUUGUUUAUGUUUGUUCGGCAAUGUGGACGCGGAGCAUUCGGCUCAGCCUCUGAUUCUCUUGAUUGAUGGAGAUCAGAGAUGUAUAUUUUCUGUCCAGAUGAUACCUGCAAGAUGUAGUUACCAUCCUACAUUCUUUGGAUCAAGUGUUCUGGAGGCUCUUUUUCUGCCUCAAGCACUUGGCAGUAAUUGGCUGCUU